CAUGGCGCCGCUCGAGCCCGCAGAGGCCGCCGGGAGCUGCAGUGCGCGCGGCAUGGCUUGUGGUGGAACGGGCGGCUCCCCUGUCGUG
ensembl:miRNA